rnacentral:lncRNA from 1 species
CGAUGCAUCACCUUCUUAACCAUUUGAUUUUCAAGUUAUGGAGACUCGUUUGUUAAGGAAUUGUUGCGUUUUGCAAUAAGUAAAAGUCGUUCAUAUGCUUGCCAAAUUUUGCUUCUCUACUUUUUUAUUUCAUUCCUCCAAUCUCCUCCGUGAUUUUCUCGUAUCGCAAAUAAACGGAACGGAUAAAGGUGUCCCGCAAACAUUCAAAUCGUGAUGAUGUAAAAUCUCGUCCUCCUCGUGAAUUGGAGCGCUCAAACGGGAAAGGAGGGAAAGGAAAAAAAAGGGACGGUUUAAAGUCGAAGGCUGACCGUAAUAAAUUUCCUCUACGGGCUCGAGUUUCCUGGUGGCGCAAUUUUCUGCGCUACGUUUCUCCACCUGGGAAGAGAAGAAGUAGGAAGGAACAAGCGCCCCUUCCAACAACCCUUUCUCACGGUGAGCACAGCAAGCAGGAAGGGUGGGAGGCCAAGAGUCGGGACGAGUGAAGUGGAAUUAGAGCAAUCCUCUCUAAUGGUAAUUAAUGUGCGGCGUAGUCAAUGUAACUCACGUCGAAAGAAGAGGGAACGAUCAAGUCGGAAGCGGUUGGCAAGAUUCGAUGCUUCGAUGCUCGUGUAUAUGUGCACCUGCGCAAGAAACGAGAAUUCUCCCGUGAUAGCGAUGUGCUUUCAAUGGGAUAGGAAGCAACGUCGUGGCAUCGCGGCAAGCACUUUUGAAACAAUGAAGGCUGAUUGAAUCCGUGGACUCCGUGGACAAGGAACCUGGACUUUGCUUUUUUUCUUGGACAGAGGCAACCCAUGUUUCGAAGGAAACCGCUUGUUCGGGCGAUUUCGGAUGGAUCUUGAAUCAACGAUGUCACGCCUUUUAUUAAUCCGUUCUUAUUAUUGUCGGUCGGUACACCGAGCCGUCAUUUAUCGACGGGUGAUUUUCAUUACACGCGAUUUAUUGGCCGCCAGAUGCGUUGGUAUAUUACACAUUGUGAACGAUGACAUUACUCGAUGGCUUUUCGAAAUUUAUGGGCGGGGAUAUAAAGGUGAGGAAUUAUUGAGCGGAAUGGUACAUGGAUCGCUACAUGGACCGUUUUCCUUUGUUCGAGGAAAAUGGAUGAUAGCUUUGAAAAAAAAAAAAAAAAAAUACACGAUUAAUUUUGAUACGACUACGAGGCGAAGAUUAAUACCGUGGACGCAGCAGAAGGGAACGCUUCAAUGAUUCAGGCGGGCGACAAAGAUUUCGUACGUCUGUGAUGCUUUCGCUUCGUCCCGCUAUCAUCGCCUCUCUGAUGCGCCGUUCCAUUAAGUGUUAAUUGAAUCCCAGGGCUUGAACAGAGUAAAAUAGAUACGGCUGCAAGCGGAACAGGAAUUAUUACGAUGAUUCGACGUAACGCUCCCUGGGUGUACGGGAAAGAAAAAUCGGUUGCAGCAACUUCCCCCGUGAGAGAAUUGUGAGAGAAGCGUGGAAAGCUCGAGUUGGGACAGACAACGGGGGUGGAGACGAGUUGGAAGUUGGCGUACUUCCCUUCGAGGGAUUCGAAUGCCCCUUCGGAAUAUGGCGUUGGGUGGAAGACCGGUGCGAGCGGGGAAACAGUUUUCGGGACUUUGCUAUUUUCUGCAAAUAUAAAUAAGGCGGCUGUUCUAUUUACGAGUAAAGGGCUGCCACGAAAUACAAGGAACAAACAACGGACACGGUCCAUUGAACGCGUACAAUUGAAAUAUUUAGCGAACAUGACGUUCCCCUCUGUUCCUCUAUCACGUGAGGGGGAAAGAUAAUGGAACGUGGUUGGAGGAAAAAACUGUGAAGGUGAAUGGAAUUGUGAAAUAAUAUUCACAAUCUAUAAGAAUCUUUAAACUGUCUCUUUGUAGCCUCUAUUAAAAAAAAAAAAGAAAAGGGGAAAAGAAAAAUGGAACGGCAUAUUCUGUUCAUAGAGAUCUUCGAGAUUAUUUAUCCUUAAGUUAUGAAUAUAUUUAAAUUUACGCAUCGUUCUUGAGAAGCGUCAAUUUUAAAAGAUCGUAUCAUAAAAUUGUUACAAAAUAAAUUUCAAAGAAGGAAAAAAUUAUUAAUAGUUUUUCGUUAUGGCGACAAUUUUGUUGAACGAUAUAUUGUUCACACGUAGACGAUCGACAAAAUUGAUUCGAUCCGUGCAAACGUCUACGACCCCGCCUUAUAUUUCGAAAUACAAGAGGAAGGCUACCGCGAGCUCCAAUGCAAAUAUGUGAAACGCCAAGAAAUCCGACCUCUGACCCGUUACAACUCUUAACAAAGUUUUAAAAUCACGUCCUUCCAUUACUCACCGUUUUCUUUUCCACAGUUCGCGGCUUUCCUCUCCUCCCUGUAACGGUAAAAAUCCAACCCGCUGAAUUUUAAUGCAAUUUGCUCUCGUUUCCUGGAAGACGAGCUCCAUUCUCCGACGUGUCGAGUUUCGAGCAUAAGUGUGAGCAAUCGUUAGAAAGGUCAGCGACCAUCGAAACGAAGAGAGGAGGAGGGGAAAUGGAACAGAGAGUGACACAAAGAGAGUAAAUGCACGUCUCGAUGUAUGCAAACCUCCGGUGACAAAUUGUGUCACGAACAAAUUAUCCCAGCGGCCGCUAUUUUUCAGUUGGCAGUGAUUUAACGUGAAACGUGAGCGAUCGAUAAAUUUCGUAAAUUUUCUUUUUUUUUUCAUCCUACAAAAUCGUGCACACGAUGAAUAUAUUUAUUUAUUUAUUUAUUUAUUUAUUCUCAUUUCUUUUCGUGGAAAAUAAAAGGUUAUCGAAUCGCGGUAUUCGAUUAUCGGUUGGCGAUGAAAAAUCGAUGGAAAAAAAAAAUAACUCAUAAAAUAAAACGACGAGGAUUUAACUUCGUGUUAAAAUGCAGUUUCCAGAGUCUUUUCCCGAUUUCUUGGAAGAGAUAGAUACUUCUGUAUCGUCGAGGAUGAGGAACGUUUUAAAUGCGCGCGAAUUCUACGAAAUGCAGUCAUCCAACUGUUGUUCGUUGGAACUGGUAGCAGGGGUGGAUCCGAGGAGGGGGAGGAAGAUGGAAUGUUUCGGUGUAUAAGUUUACACCGAAGAUGGACGGUUUUACGUGAAACUCGAACUUUCGAAUAUCUCAUUAAUUUCCAACUGUCUGCCGGUGGCAGUCAUAAGUUCCGCUCCGCGCUCGUGGCAGUUUGAAAAGUUGGGAAAGAUCGCGGCCCAAACGCGAAAUAAAGAAACGUUGGUCGGGGAAAGUUGGCUGGAGUUUAGGCUUUUGAAACGAUCGACAGGACGAGGUCGAAAGAAAUAUUCGAAUUUAUUCUUCGCGAUGAUUUUAAAAUUUAUCGCUAUAAAGAUGAAUGAUUUUCGGGAAGGAUGUAAUAUCGAGUUUCCGCUUAAAGGAUAAUUAAUGAAUUUAAUAUCGUAUGGAUAGUUGGAAGAACGGAAUAAAGCUCAGUUUUUACACAAAGUUUCGAUGGCUCGAUUCUCAAGAUUUGAUACUCGCAAGUUACGAAGUUUCCAUCCCAUCUUCCGGAUCAUAUUUCAACUUAUUAUACAUCCAACUACGUUGAUCUAAUUAGAAUUUUAGAAUUUCCAAUUAAUCCAACAUGCUUUCGAUACGUUCUAGAUCGUUGUCUCGAUUUAAACCGAAAAAUAAUCAGCUUGCCAUUUAUUAUAUACCUACAAUUACACAAUCGUUUAUUUUUUAUCCAGUUAGACA